rnacentral:rRNA from 1 species
GAUGAACGCUGGCGGCGUGCCUAAUACAUGCAAGUCGAGCGAACGGACGAGAAGCUUGCUUCUCUGAUGUUAGUGGCGGACGGGUGAGUAACACGUGGAUAACCUACCUAUAAGACUGGGAUAACUUCGGGAAACCGGAGCUAAUACCGGAUAAUAUUUUGAACCGCAUGGUUCAAAAGUGAAAGACGGUCUUGCUGUCACUUAUAGAUGGAUCCGCGCUGCAUUAGCUAGUUGGUAAGGUAACGGCUUACCAAGGCAACGAUGCAUAGCCGACCUGAGAGGGUGAUCGGCCACACUGGAACUGAGACACGGUCCAGACUCCUACGGGAGGCAGCAGUAGGGAAUCUUCCGCAAUGGGCGAAAGCCUGACGGAGCAACGCCGCGUGAGUGAUGAAGGUCUUCGGAUCGUAAAACUCUGUUAUUAGGGAAGAACAUAUGUGUAAGUAACCGUGCACAUCUUGACGGUACCUAAUCAGAAAGCCACGGCUAACUACGUG